UUUUCUUUUUUUUUUUUAUAAGAUUCUCUUAUUCUUUCUUCUCAUGAACUUUUAUCCCUGUAGCUCCUGGCCAUCUUCACCCUCUGUGGCUCCUUCAUGAUGGCCUUCUAAUCUCUGCUAGUGUGGCUCCAUAGUUUCCUCCACUGCUCUCGGCCACAGCUCCACUUGUCUCACCAGCAUCUUCUUGAUUCUGGCUGUCACCUAGCAAAACAGCAGCAGCCUACAGACUAUUCCCCUCCACAUCUAGGGAGGGCAGUGCC